AAGCGGUGGAUCAUGUUGUUUAAUUCGAUGAUACGCGAAGAACCUUACCAGGUCUUGACAUCCCCUGCAAAGCUAUAGAGAUAUAGUGGAGGUUAUCAGGGAGACAGGUGGUGCAUGGUUGUCGUCAGCUCGUGUCGUGAGAUGUUGGGUUAAGUCCCGCAACGAGCGCAACCCUUAUUGCUAGUUACCAUCAUUAAGUUGGGGACUCUAGCGAGACUGCCAGUGAUAAACUGGAGGAAGGUGGGGAUGACGUCAAAUCAUCAUGCCCCUUAUGACCUGGGCUACAAACGUGAUACAAUGGCUGGAACAGAGGGCAGCGAAGCAGUGAUGUGGAGCGAAACCCAAAAUACAGUCUCAGUUCGGAUUGAAGUCUGCAACUCGACUUCAUGAAGUUGGAAUCGCUAGUAAUCGCGGAUCAGAACGCCGCGGUGAAUACGUUCUCGGGGUUU
rnacentral:rRNA from 1 species